rnacentral:rRNA from 1 species
GCGGCCCAUUAGCUAGUUGGUGGGUCAAGGCCUACCAAGGCAACGAUGGGUAGCUGGUCUGAGAGGACGAUCAGCCACACUGGGACUGAGACACGGCCCAGACUCCUACGGGAGGCAGCAGUGGGGAAUCUUGCGCAAUGCGCGAAAGCGUGACGCAGCAACACCGCGUGAGGGAAGACGGCCUUAGGGUUGUAAACCUCUUUCAGAUGGGACGAAGGUGAUGCGGUGAAUAGCCGAUGUCAUUGACGGUACCGUCAGAAGAAGCUCCGGCUAACUACGUG